UCAUAUCAAUAAGCGGAGGAAAAGAAAAUAACAAUGAUUCCUCUAGUAACUGCGAGUGAAGAGGGAAAAGUUCAAAUUUUAAAUCUGUUAGGUUUACCUAACCGAGUUGUAAUUUGAAGAAGCGUUUUCUGCGAAUUUGGUUAGUCCAAAUCCUUUGGAAUAAGGUAUCAUGGAGGGUGAGAAUCCCGUUCGGUUAACCAAAGCGCUUUACGAUACGCUUUCAAAGAGUCAAGUUGUUUGGGAUUGCAGCUUAAAAUGGGAGGUAAAUUUCUCCUAAGGCUAAAUAUUGGCGAGAGACCGAUAGCGAACAAGUACCGUGAGGGAAAGAUGAAAAGAACUUUGAAAAGAGAGUUAAACAGUACGUGAAAUUGUUGAAAGGGAAACGAUUAAAGUCAGUCGUACCUACGAGUGAUCAACCUACUCGAGUGCGAUUUUGUGGGUAUGUUUGAGCUUAAAAACCUUCAUGCUUACAAAUUGGUGCUCUUUGGGCGUACUUUCUCGUAUGGUAGGUUAACAUCAAUUUCGAUCGUUGUAAAAUGACUGGAGGAAUGUAGCUUCGACCUCGGUUGAAGUGUUAUAGCCUUUGGUAGAUGUAAUGAUUGGGAUUGAGGAUUGCAACGGAUACCCUCUGGGCUAUUCGUCUGAUCUCUGGAAGUUACCUUGGUGUCGAAAGCGUGCUUACGAUAUUAAGGUUGACGGCCAAUAGGUUAGAACGUGAUUAAAUUCGUUAAGGAUGUUGACGUAAUGGCUUUAAACGAC
rnacentral:rRNA from 1 species